rnacentral:lncRNA from 1 species
AAAAAAAACAAUGAAUUUGUGAUCCCAAAUUUGAGUAUCACACCGAGUAAUCAAAAUUUAAAAGAAAAUGAAAAAAAAGAAGAGAACGUAAUUUCUCUGAAAUUAAAGAGAAAUUAUGAACAACAACAAUGCGUCAAUAUCAAACACCAUACAAUUCAAUAUUUUCAACUAAAGGUUUACCUUUUUCUAAGUCCCCCAAAUAAAUCAACACUUUCAGACAUUACAUGCGUGUCACAUUCCCCUAUUAAUUGUAUUA